GCGGCGUGCUUAACACAUGCAAGUCGAACGAGAAGCUCACUUCGGUGAGUGGACAGUGGCAGACGGGUGAGUAACGCGUGGCAACCUACCCUUCACUACGGGACAACAGUUGGAAACGACUGCUAAUACCGUAUACGUCCUCCGGGAGAAAGAUUUAUCGGUGAUGGAUGGGGCCGCGUUAGAUUAGCUUGUUGGUAAGGUAAUGGCUUACCAAGGCUUCGAUCUAUAGCUGGUCUGAGAGGAUGAUCAGCCACACUGGGACUGAGACACGGCCCAGACUCCUACGGGAGGCAGCAGUGGGGAAUAUUGGACAAUGGGCGCAAGCCUGAUCCAGCAACGCCGCGUGAAUGAUGAAGGCCUUAGGGUUGUAAAAUUCUUUCGCUAGGGAAGAUAAUGACUGUACCUAGUAAAGAAGCCCCGGCUAACUCCGUGCCAGCAGCCGCGGUAAUACGGAGGGGGCUAGCGUUGUUCGGAAUUACUGGGCGUAAAGCGUGCGUAGGCGGAUUAAUAAGUUAGAUGUGAAAUCCCAGGGCUCAACCCUGGAACUGCAUUUAAAACUGUUAGUCUUGAGUUCUGGAGAGGUAAGUGGAAUUGCUAGUGUAGAGGUGAAAUUCGUAGAUAUUAGCAGGAACACCAGAGGCGAAGGCGGCUUACUGGACAGAUACUGACGCUGAGGCACGAAAGUGUGGGGAGCAAACAGGAUUAGAUACCCUGGUAGUC
rnacentral:rRNA from 1 species